CCUACGGGAGGCUGCAGUGGGGAAUAUUGCACAAUGGGGGAAACCCUGAUGCAGCAACGCCGCGUGAGGGAAGAAGUAUUUCGGUAUGUAAAGCUCUAUCAGCAGGGAAGAAAAUGACGGUACUAGAUUAAGAAGACCCGGCUAACGACGUGCCAGCAGCCGCGGUAAUACGUAGGGGGCAAGCGUUAUCCGGAUUUACUGGGUGUAAAGGGAGCGUAGACGGCAGAACAAGUCUGGAGUGAAAUGCCAGGGCUUAACCCCGGAACUGCUUUGGAAACUGUGCUGCUAGAGUGCAGGAGAGGUAAGUGGAAUUGCUAGGGUAGCGGUGAAAUGCGUAGAUAGUAGGAGGAACACCAGUGGCGAAGGCGGCUUACUGGACUGUAACUGACGUUGAGGCUCGAAAGCGUGGGGAGCAAACAGGAUUAGAUACCCCAGUAGUC
rnacentral:rRNA from 1 species